AGGAUGUUAUUGAAAUAUUAGUUUAAUAUGGUAAUAAUUUGAAUUAUAUUGUUUGACAAUUAUUAUAAUAUUUGUCUUGAUUAUUAUUUGAUUGCAAUCAAGACCAUUUNUUUCCCUAUUUUNNUAAUUACCAAUUAAUUCUCAAUUAAGACAAAAUUGUCAUAAUAUUACAAUAUGUGCCUAUAAAUACACACUCUGUG
rnacentral:lncRNA from 1 species